rnacentral:tRNA from 1 species
GGGGUGUAUAGCUCAGUGGUAGAGCAUUUGACUGUAUAUCGAGAUGUCUCCGGUUUAAACCCGGGUGCCCCUU